CAAUAGCGUAUAUUAAAGUUGUUGCGGUUAAAAAGCUCGUAGUUGGAUUUCUGGUUGAAGCGACCGGUCGGGCGUUGAUUCGUCUGCACUGGAGUCGGUUUUGGCCAUCCUCUAGGAAAGUGCGUCUGGUAUUAAGUUGUCGGGCGUAUGAUCCUGGUCUUUUACUGUGAAAAAAUUAGAGUGUUUAAAGCAGGCCUUCGCCUUGAAUACAUUAGCAUGGAAUAAUAAGAUAAGACUUGGGUCAUUAUUUUGUUUGGUUUGUCGGAUCGAGGUAAUGAUUAAUAGGGAUAGUUGGGGGUAGUUCAUAUUUAAUUGUCAGAGGUGAAAUUACUUGGAUUUAUUGAAAGAUGAACUUAGGCGAAAGACAUUUACCUAAGGAAUGUUUUCUAUUAAUCAAGAACGAAAGUUAGGGGAGUCGAAGAUGAUUAGAUACCAU
rnacentral:rRNA from 1 species